rnacentral:ribozyme from 13 species
AAGGACCAUGACGCAUCAAGAGUGAACACGCGAAAAGAGCAAUGUUGUAAAUCCAUCGAGCCAGGAACCUAGGGUCUUAGUACGCGAAGUUGUUUCAU